CAGGAACAAUGAGAUUUACUUCAGAAAUGUUUUUCACACCAGAAUUGAAACUUGACCCUGGACUGAAAGCUAUGCAGGGAUGUUACAGCUUUUGUUACAGCAACCCAACCAAACAAUUCCUCUGUAUGUUCUUUGCCCUUCGAAGAAGCAAAAGAGGACACAAACAUGUGAUGAAGUCUGCAAGUUAAUUUGGACAAGUUUGCAUUCCUGUUUUAAAAAGCAGUGGCAAAAGGAAGGAAUUUUUCUCUCCUUUGCUGGGAUCAAAAAUACUUUUGGUGGAAUCAAAUUCAUGGAAUAAUGUGAUGCAUCUGUGAAGAAGGCAAAUCCAAUUCUAAGAUGCUCCAGGGCAAACAUUUCCAAGAGAAGUAAGGAAGUUUUUGUGCCAUUGUACAAGGUCCCACAACAAACUCAUCUGGAAAAUUGUUCUAGUCAGCCAUAGUCAAGAAAAGAAAUUGAAAUGAGAAGAGCUACAUAUAAGAGCAACAAGGAACAUCAGGAGAAUGGGAGUUCGUACUUGGAGAGGAUUCUGGUAGAAGAGCACAGCUUGUUUGUAUGAGCAAAAUGAAGAUUGAAAAGGGGUAUGAUUACUGUCUUGGAAUACAUUAUAAGGGAAGCUCUUAGACAAGAGAGAAGCUGUUAAAUAUCACUGUUGGCAAAAACACAAAUGGAAAUGAACUGGCUAUAAUUAAACUGAGCACAGAUACUGGAGAAUGCCUGGCUAUCAAAAUAAAAAAGUUCUGAAAAAACUCUCAGAUCAAAAAAACAGGGCCAAAAAUCUUGGUCAAACAUUUUUGCCAAAUAUGCUUCCAGAUUCAUUUCACUAUCACACAAAAAACAAAAAUGCCAGAAUAAUAAUACUCAGUUGCAUUGCAAUGUUUUGAGUGAUUCUUUCUGAACUGCUCUGAUUUUUAAUGUGGGUUUCUUUGUUGUUUAUAACUCAUAUAUUUUGUGCUGCUUUGAUUCUGAAGAGAUUUAAGAAUACCUUAAAUUUCAAUGACCUGCUUUCAAUGGUCAACACUUUUCUAAUUCUCAUUCCAUUUGUACUUUAUAAUGUAUGCUAGUUUGCCCCCACUUUUUCCUGAAGGUUUUUGUUCCCUUCUGCCCACAUGCUAAACUAAGGGAAAGAAUAUAAAAUUUCAGAAAAGGUGUGGAACUUCCUCAAGCGGACACACAGAUCACCACUUUAGAAAAACAAUGCUAUGAUCUAUUUUAAUCUCAAAUUCAUUUCAUAGGGAAAAUCCAGAAGAUAUAUAACCAAAAAGCAACCAAAAGGUAGGAUUAUGAAAAAUUUAUAAAUUUUUGAUAGCAAGAAGUAACCAUUAUUUUACACUGAAAUCAUUACAUUUCAUAGUGAGUCACUGAUGGUUUAAUUCUACAUACUAAAGGACAAACCAUGUGCAGUUUGGUAUGUACUUGCACAGUUUUAUCUACUGCCAAUCAUUUUCGAUUGCAUCAUCAAAUUGUCAGCAAAGUGACAAGUAAAUGAGUUGGAAGGAUCCACAUGUUUAGCAAAUAAUAUUACAAUUCUUGGUUUUUAUUAAUUUCCAUAGCUCUUUGUUCAUCAGCCAAUCAAAACCCCUUUUGGAAAAGAAACACAGGUAAAUUCACUCAAGUUUGAAAUGAAUAUAAUAAUCCACAUUUCCGUAGUGAUUAUCUUCCAAAUUGUUUCUAGACUUGGAUUAGCAAUAUACUGAAUGUACAUUGUUUAAAUUGAGUAUCCCAGAUCUUUCACAUACACGUCACCAAACAGGAGGCCAGCCUCCCGGUGUGUCAUUCUUGCUGUUCAGGAUGCUGAAAAAUACCAAGGAAACAGAGAUUCCAGAGGCCAAACCUCCUGUUGAUGUACACAUCAGAUAUGAAGAUGAAAUCUUUCUGAUAUGUUUUCAGCUCUUCCUUAGACCUCAGUGCCUGAACUCAGUCAAAUGUCAUAGGAACAUUUCAUCUCUCAAGAUUUGGCUUCUGUAAAAUUGUUGAGGCAAGUUCUGAAACUUCAAUAUAGGGAAUACAGAAAACUGCCUGAAAUACAAUACCAUAAACAUCUUCUGAGAAGUGCAAAGGCACAGGAAAGGAAAGAUCCCUCUGAAAGUUCCUCAAGCAAAACUAUACCAUAUAAAUACUUCCAAGAAACUGACUGUUUUAUGGCACCAGUUCUGAGCGGAAAGAAGACACAGUGAACACAUGCCACACUACAGGAGUCUGCUGCUCUGAACUACUCCAGCUGCCAUUAGAUCUUCCAGCACUGCUUAAUUUCUUUAAAUUUUGUUUUAAUUCAAAAUAAUACCUCUAAUGCGUUGCUACCUCUGAGCUACUCUGAAUUUCUGAACCACCAUGGCAAGUGUCACUUGACAGUAUUGGCUGACUCAUUGCAGCCUGGACCCUUAGGCCUCUGUCAGUUUAUUUCUCAAAACAGAAUGAUUUCUGUCUGUCCUAUUUAAAUGCUUCCAUUUUAUGUCUAGAAAGCAUCAUGCCUUGAAACUAGUUCAUUAACUUUAUGUGCAGCAGUCACACAGAUGUGAUGUCAGCACUUGUCAUGAAUGCCCAAAACAUGGCUGAAAAAAUAUUAUUAAUUUUCACUUUAAGCAUUAUUCCUGUUAACAAGACAAACCAGAUUAUCAAAUAGUUUGUGCCUUUUUAUCACAGCUGAGAUUUAAGUUUGCAAUCAAAACUUAAACUUUUGGAACAAUUAUCAAGCACAGUAACUGAAAACACAACAUGCAAACAUGUAUAUAUGCAUAUAAAAUAUUAGUUUCAAACAGCAGUUCUAAAAAUGGUAUCAUUUAAGUUCCCUACAAACUUAAUGGUACCACUAUCUUUUUGAUUUUUUUUUUCUUUUUUGCCUUUUUCCCCCUUUAUGGUUUUUUGUUUGUUUGUUUGUUUGGUGGUUUUUUGGGGUUUUUUGGGGGGGGGUUGUUUGCUUGUUUGUUUGUUUGUUUGUUUGUGUUUUGUUUUGUUUUGUUUUUCUUUGCAAGGAGCUACUUACUGAAAUCAACUGCCAGGGAUUCAGUAUUUUUUUGAAAACUUUUAGGAUAAAUAUUAGUUGAGAAUACUCUCUGGAGAUACGAUUUUCUGAAAAUGCUGAAAUGCUGACCAUGGCUGAUAAAGCACAGUAGUGCUUUAAGCAGUAUUACAUUCUAGCAUAGCGUGGCCUGUCAUAAAAAAGCAGAUAGAGGUUCAUGAACUAUUUGAGAAGAAAACAAAAAAAGCUUUAAUAGUUAAAUAAAAAUUUUACUUUGUCAUAUAUUGAUAAAGAGACAUGUUUGGAAUAUUUUGUCAAAUGUGUUUGAAUGUUUGUUCACGAAAAUAUGAGAAUGAAAUCAGUUUUCCUUUGCAAGCAUGCCAUAGUCACUCCUCUCUUAUCCCUCUCUGUUUCAGAUGAAAGUUCUUACAGGUCCUUUUCCCUACCUAAUUUUUAACUUGAUAUUUCUGCUAUCCAUAUCUUGCCAUUCAGUGCUGAUACUUUUGCUUCUUUCACCCACAUCACCCUAGCACAGAUCACACUUCUGUCUGUGACACUCCAUUUCUGUCUUACAGAUUCCCAUUACAUGAAGCCAGUUGCUUUCCCAGCCUUUUCAUCCUGCCAAUAACCUUUCUUUUCCUCUCAAAGAUAUUAUCUUUUUAAUUCUUUUUUCUAGAAUUCCUCCCUAUGUCUCCUGAAUUUAUGCUUCUGGACAAAAAGAAAUUGAUUAGUUAAGGUCAAAGUUUUUUAAUUCAAAGAACUUUAAUGUGUAUCUAAAUGCAUAUUUUAAAAACAAUA